GACGAACGCUGGCGGCAUGCCUAACACAUGCAAGUCGAACGGAGUUAUUAUUCAGAAGUUCUUCGGGAUGGAAGGAUAAGAACUUAGUGGCGGACGGGUGAGUAACGCGUGGGUAACCUGCCCUUUUGUGGGGAACAACUUCGAGAAAUCGGAGCUAAUACCGCAUAAUAAUAGAGGAUCGCAUGAUUCUUUAAGGAAAGAUGGCCUCUGAAGAUGCUAUCGCAAAAGGAUGGACCCGCGUCUGAUUAGCUAGUUGGAAGGGUAACGGCCUACCAAGGCAACGAUCAGUAGCCGGCCUGAGAGGGUGAACGGCCACAUUGGGACUGAGACACGGCCCAA
rnacentral:rRNA from 1 species